AUACUUACUUGGACAGGGCCUUUACAGGUGAUCAAGAAUGCCUGUGGUCUAGACUAGAGACCUUCAGUGCAUUUUGAGGGGGCGCUGGUUUACCAAAUGACCAACUGGUAGAAUGGACGUCAUAAUUUGUAGUAGUGGGGUUCGCGUCCGUGCAGCCACUAU